rnacentral:rRNA from 1 species
AAUGCUUCGGAACGACGAUAGUGUGAAAUGAAUGUCCAGACUGUGAUCGUGACACUCUCCCUCUUCAAGCUGCAAGAUACUAUUGACAAAAUAGAAAACCCCUUGUUGUUCUUUCUGUUUGUCUCUGCUUGAAUAAUUUUAUGUGAUGCAAGGAGCUUAUGAAAGGUAAUCAGCAGGGAAAGAAGACCCUGUUAGGCUUGACACUAGUUUAACAUUGUGAAGAAACAUAGAAAGUGUAGAAUAAGUGGGAGCUUCAGUGCCAGUGAAAUACCACUACCUUUAUUGUCUUUUUACUCAUUCAGUGAGGUAAAGCUGGGACACAAAUGAACUUGGAGAUGCUGGCAGGGGCCCCAGGAAGAGUUUUCCUUCCUCCUUAACAGCCUACCACCCUGAAAUCAGUUUGUCCAGAGCUAGGAUUCAAUGGCUGGUAGAGCUUAGCACUUCUGCUAGGUCUAAUGUGUUCUCAACAGUCCUUGAAAAUCCAAGGGAAUGAAUAAUCUUUGCACCUAGUCACACUCAUAACAGCAGCAGGUCUCCAGGGUGAACAGCCUCUAGUUGAUAGAACAAUGAAGAUAAGGGAAAUUAGUGACAUGCAUGAAUGGAUUAAUGAGAUUCCCACUGUCCCUAUCUACUAUCUAGUGAAACCACAGCCAAGGGAAUGGGCUUGGCAGAAUCAGCAGGGAAAGAAGACCCUGUUGAGCUUGACUCUAGGUUGACAUUAUGAAAAGACAUGAAGGGUGUAGAAUAAGUGGGAGCUUGGGUGCUGGUGAAAUACCACUACCUUUAUCAUCUUUUUACUUAUUCAGUGAGGCAGAGCUAGGAUUCUGUCCUAGCUUUUGGCUUUCAAGGUCCUUCAUAGGCCAAUCCAGGCUGAAGACAUUGUCAGGUGGGGAGUUUGGCUAGGGCAGCACAUCUGUUAAAAGAUAAUGCAGGUGUCCUAAGGGGGACUCAUUGAGAACAUAAAUCUCAAGUAGAACAAAAGGGUAAAAGUCCCUUGAUUUUGAUUUUCAGUGUGAAUACAAACCAUGAAAGUGUGGCCUAUUGAUCCUUUAGUCCCUUGGAAUUUGAGGCUAGAGGUGUCAAAAAAGCUAUCAUAGGGAUAACUGGCUUGUGGCAGCCAAGCAUUCAUAGCAAUGUUGCUUUUGAUCCUUUGAUGUUGGCUCUUCCUAUUAUACUAAAGCAGAAUUCAGUGAGUAUUGGAUUGUUCAACCAGUAAUAGGGAAUGUGAGCUGGGUUUAGACUGUCAUGAGAUAGGUUAGUUUUACCCUGCUGAUGGAGCAGUUGUCACAACAGUAAUUGAACUUAGUAUGAGAGGAACUGUUCAUUCAGACAUUUGGUAUUUGCACCUGUCUUGGGUAAUGGCACAAAGCUAUUCUCUGCCAGAUUAUGGCUAAAUGCCUCUAAGCCAGAAUUUGUACCUGAAACUAUGAUGUUGGUCCCACACAUGUUAGUCAUGUUGAAAUAGAGUGUUUUGCUCAUGAAGUGAGUUGGGUGGACUCAGCUGUCGUUGCAGAAAUGCUUUGGCAGCUUGUCCAUGAAUGGCAAUCAUCAUAUGUGUGGGGGUGAAUCUGUCACGAUCAUGAUUUAUGAUC